rnacentral:rRNA from 1 species
GCCCUUAGAGUUUGAUCCUGGCUCAGGAUGAACGCUAGCGGCAGGCUUAACACAUGCAAGUCGAGGGGUAACAGAGGUAGCAAUACUUGCUGACGACCGGCGCACGGGUGAGUAACGCGUAUGCAACCUACCUCUAACUGAGGCAUAGCCCGGAGAAAUCCGGAUUAAUACCUCAUAAUAUUUCGAAUUCGCAUGUUUUCGAGAUUAAAGUCCAGACGGUUAGAGAUGGGCAUGCGUGACAUUAGUUAGUUGGUGAGGUAACGGCUCACCAAGACUGCGAUGUCUAGGGGGUCUGAGAGGAUGGUCCCCCACACUGGUACUGAGACACGGACCAGACUCCUACGGGAGGCAGCAGUGAGGAAUAUUGGGCAAUGGACGCAAGUCUGACCCAGCCAUGCCGCGUGCAGGAUGACUGCCCUAUGGGUUGUAAACUGCUUUUAUUUGGGAAGAAACCCUCGCUCGUGAGCGGGGCUGACGGUACCAAAAGAAUAAGCAUCGGCUAACUCCGUGCCAGCAGCCGCGGUAAUAAGGGCG